UACGUAGGGACCAAGCGUUGUCCGGAAUCAUUGGGCGUAAAGAGCUCGUAGGCGGUCAGUCGCGUCUGCUGUGAAAACUCGGGGCUUAACUCCGGGCCUGCAGUGGGUACGGGCUGACUAGAGUGCGGUAGGGGAGACUGGAAUUCCUGGUGUAGCGGUGAAAUGCGCAGAUAUCAGGAGGAACACCGGUGGCGAAGGCGGGUCUCUGGGCCGUAACUGACGCUGAGGAGCGAAAGCGUGGGGAGCGAACAGG
rnacentral:rRNA from 1 species